UUGUUGUUCGUUCUAUCGAUUAUACACGUUGGCAUUCAAAUGAAGUCCAACGUAACGAUGCUACGUUUGACUCACCGUAUUCAAGCAGGUACGAAUGGCGUCAAUUAACAAUAGCGAGCCAGCAUUUCUUAUCUUUGUAAAGGCAGGCAGACUUUUGGGUGCAGCUCUUGUAUUGGAUUCAAUUUGACUAGGUGCCUAAUAAAGUGGAAGGGGUCCGCCUCCUCCUGGAUCGUCUGCGGUUAUGUGGAUGGAGUAGAAAAUUAUCAUUCAUUUUUUAAUACAUAUAAUGUAACGUUUUAAUUAGAAAGGGUUGGUCUGUUUGUAAAGAAAAAGUGCUUAGCAUAAGAACGACUUUAGUUGGAAGAAAUUAAGAGGUCCAACGUCCCUAACACUGUUGUCGUUAAAAAAAAAAAAAAGCAGCGUGUUGGUCAUAUUCGAAGAUAUUCUGACAGCAAUUAUUAUUUUUUAUUUGGAGUGGAAGGAAAAUAGCCAAGCUGCAUUUUUUUGUGUGUGUUUCUUUUCCCUUGAUGCCGAUCACGAGCACAAUGGUACGAUGCGAAAUUUUCGUAGAAUUUUGUUUUGGUCUUAUUACCACACAUUAAUUUGAUGUACGUUGUGAUUACUUGGAAUGGCUUUAUUUGUUUUUAAAAAUGACUUGCAUGAGACAAACCGACCCAUUAAAAUGUUAGCUGCUAGUUGAAACCUGUUGUCAAUAAAAUAAUUGCUUUUUUAGAACGGCAAAAUGAUCGUAAGAUAGCUCGGAAAAGCUUAAUGUAGCGUUGAACCUGCUUUCUGCAGAAUUUAUGGCUUUUAUGUACGAAAAUAAAUUUUCCAAUCGUUUAAAGCACUUUUGGACAAUUUUUUUUUCAAUUUAAUUUUUAUCAUAUAUGUGCAUGUUUGAUGCUCACGUGACAAGUACAAAAACUUGACUAACUUUUUGUGUAGUUUCUUACUAAAUUCCCAUGUGAACAAAUUCCAGCGGGACAAAUAAGGAAAGACAUCCCCCCCCCAAAAAACAAAAAAAAAACAUGUUGCACGGUGGCGUCAAAAUGACUCCACUGGAGUAAAAAACAAACCGCCUUUACCUUCUCGUUGCCACCACACUCAGAGGUCAUUAAGUCCAUCAUGCUGUCGACUGGGGGCGAACUUGGGCCCCCCCCCCUCUUUUUUUUUUUUCCUCCUCCUCCUGUCUGUGUUAAUCUGAAUGUCAGAUGGGAUGCGGUCACACGUGAUUUUAACCACGGAAACCACAGCAACAUGAAGUCAUGGUGACAUCAUGCCGAGCUGAAAAGAGACCUUUCACAUGGAUGCAGGGGCCCUCAAUGGCCGCUUUACACAGCUGGAGCCCGGCCAGCUAACAUUCGAGCAAAUUUGUCAAAUUACGCGUAUUAUGACUUUUUUUUUUUGGGUGCCGCUGACCGCUAAUGUCAGUCGGCGCGCGUUUUCUAAAAGAGGCUCUGUGUACACGUGUGUCUCUCAGCGGCCGCUAUCUGCCUGGCAACGGCGCCGUCCAGAUAACAUCGAGUGGCGCCCGCUCCGCUUUUCCUUUCCAUUGCUCAUAUAUUUCUACAGCUUUUGGCUCUGGCUGUUGCCAAGACAAUUUCUGGACCCCGCGGAAGUGUCGAGUCAGCCAAAAUUGUUUGACUGGGAGAUAUGAUUGCGAGUCGUGUUGGGGCUUCUGCAGUGGAUGUUAAAAACCAAAAAAGAUGCAAACGCUGCAGAAUUAUCUUUCACCUUGAGUUUUGCCACCAUCUUUAGGAAGGAUUAAACCUGCUAAAUUGAGGGGAUUAGUAAGCACUCUGCUAUUGUGGACUGAAAAUAUGUAAUUACCCUUGCUGGCCUAAGCAGAGAAUGUUUUCACCUUGGUGUGUGUAGAACUAACUAAAAAAAAUAAAGAUUUUUGACAUACAAAUUGAGUAUGAAUAUGCAUGGUGCCACUGAAGCAACUCAAAAAACAAAAAUUGGCAGAUUAAAUGUGAACAGUUCUUCCAAAAAAGGGUCAAAUAAGAACUGAUAUUAGUGCCGUACUGAUGAGCUCAGUUCGAAGCAUGAUAUCCGUAAAUGAUUGGCUGGCUGAUGCAUCCACACAGAAGCACUGGUGUUUUGAGUUACAAGCAUGGUCACUAAACAAAUGAAACUCGUAUCUCAAGGCUCGUAUCUUUUACUUGCUAAAAUUAUUGUUGAUAGUAUUUCAUAGUCACAAUCAGGGCCGAUUUAAUCAACCGAUAUAGCUCAUUAGAAAAUGUGCCAUUUUUUAAUAUUUAUAUCCAUCCAUUUUGGGAACGGCGUAAUCCUCACGAAGGUAGCGGGCAUGCUGGAGCCUCUCAUCUUUGGGCCGUAGGCGGGCGGGGUGCACCCUGAACUGGCUAUUUGGUAUCGAGUGCACGUCUGCUAUCUGGCUUGAA